GCGAGUGUGGCAUAGUGGUUUGAGUGCUGGACUGAAACUCUUGAGAUCUAGGCUCAAUUCCUAGCUUGGCA